UACGGGGGGGGGCAGGCGUUGUUCGGAAUUACUGGGCGUAAAGGGCUCGUAGGCGGCCAACUAAGUCGGAUGUGAAAUCCCCCAGGCUCAACCUGGGAACUGCAUCCGAUACUGGAUGGCUUGAAUCCGGGAGAGGGAUGCAGAAUUCCAGGUGUAGCGGUGAAAUGCGUAGAUAUCUGGAGGAAUACCGGUGGCGAAGGCGGCUCACUGGCCCGGGUACUGACGCGUGAGGUGCGAAAAGCGUGGGGGAGCAAACAGG
rnacentral:rRNA from 1 species